rnacentral:rRNA from 1 species
CCUACGGGAGGCAGCAGUGGGGAAUAUUGGACAAUGGGGGGAACCCUGAUCCAGCGACGCCGCGUGAGUGAAGAAGUAUUUCGGUAUGUAAAGCUCUAUCAGCAGGGAAGAAAGAAAUGACGGUACCUGACUAAGAAGCCCCGGCUAACUACGUGCCAGCAGCCGCGGUACUACGUAGGGGGCAAGCGUUAUCCGGAUUUACUGGGUGUAAAGGGAGCGUAGACGGCGAUGCAAGUCUGAAGUGAAAGGCGGGGGCCCAACCUCCGGACUGCUUUGGAAACUGUAUGGCUGGAGUGCAGGAGAGGUAAGUGGAAUUCCUAGUGUAGCGGUGAAAUGCGUAGAUAUUAGGAGGAACACCAGUGGCGAAGGCGGCUUACUGGACUGUAACUGACGUUGAGGCUCGAAAGCGUGGGGAGCAAACAGGAUUAGAUACCCUAGUAGUC